rnacentral:tRNA from 1 species
GGCCCCAUCGUCUAGCGGUUAGGACGUUGGCUUUUCAAGCCAAUAACCGGGGUUCGACUCCCCGUGGGGCUG